AACUAUACAACUGUUUCUAGCCUGAACCAGUCAGAGGUAGCCGCCAGAUUUCAGCCAUAUUUUGGCAGCUACUUGAGCAACAACUGCUCAGUUAGGGCACGGCCGUUUUUUUGUGCAAUCUCGUUCCCAAUAUGUGAUCCGAAGACAGGAAGUGUGGUGCUGCCAUGCCAACAGCUUUGUCAAGAGGUAUCCAGAGACUGCUCUGUGGAACUCCAGUGCUCCAGUUUUCCUCCGUCUUCAGACAGCUGCUAUAAUGGAGGCUCGUUGCCACAGACAACGGUCUCACCACCAUCGUCCACGCCAGACUAUGGU